GUCACCUGGAGGUGGCCUGACUCUGUGCCGAGGGCCGCGUAGAGAGCUGUCUGCCCGGCUGGGAGCCCAGGACGCGGAACUCCGGGCGGGCAGAAGAGCCCGUUUUCCCCGAGAUUCCCGACCGGCUGACGGGCUGCUCCCAGAUGGAAAAUCCCACCCUGAUUAGCCAACUGAUUUACUCAAAAUAAAACUUGCACUCCCACUCCCCUGCUCACUGCGCAUGCCCCUCGGGUCUCUGGCCAGGCGGAGGAGGUACUUUGCGGCCCGGAGGGCGAAGUCCUUUGGGACAUUUGGGCCUGGAGCAGGAGGACAUCUGGGGCUUCCUUCUAACAAUGGUACCUGUGUCUCUGUUCCUCGUCCUCCCAAGAGCCGGAGCUUUCGUCUAGCAGGUGCGUCUGUUCCGGUGCAGACUCCGUGUGCGGGUGGCAGCAGCGUGUUCAGACCCGGUGCGAUGCCCAAUUCACACCGGCACGUGAGGAGGAAGAUGGCGCCGUGAAAGGCAGGAUCCUCGGUGGCUGGAGAAGUCCUUGGGUUUAAACUUUUUAGGUGUUCGUGUUAGCGUCUAGUCUAGAAGGUGUGACGCUCUGGGCUUCCCUGGGACCUGGAAUCACUGCUCUGACGUAAGGACCGGAGGAGACAGACCGAACGAACAUGAGCCCUCAGCCUUGGAGGUGGUGGGGCAGGGGACUGGGUCCUUGUCAGCUCCGGCUCCCCGGGGACUUGCCCUGCGGACUGGGCUGGCCCUGCCCUGGCUGGGCCCCCGGGAGCCCGACUUGUGCAGUGAGGUGUCCUCUGACAUCUCAUGUGAUGUUGUCGCACCUGGAGUUGUCCGAUCCGUGUCCACCCCUCGAGCCUUCCCCACACCAGUCCUGCCCUCCAGAGACUGCACGUCCCAGAAACAAAGGAGCACGGCCUUCCCGAGGAGGGAAUGUGCAGGGACAGAGACUCUGGAAAAUUCCUUUUCUCUGGUCGGAUCCCCUUGUGCCCCCUGUCCCACACCUCCCCCUUUAAUUUUCUUGACAACCCCCCCACCGUGUUUGUUUAAAAAGCGUCGGCAUAUAUAGGCAUCUAUAUGCACCUGUACAUGUAGUAUCAUGUUUGUUUGUUUGAACACGUGUAUGAAAUGUUAUAACUAUUUUUGGUUUGUGCCGUGAGCAUCCAGCGUGCAGGAUCCACACGCCCACCCCGGAGUUAUGUGGCUGUGUCACCGCGUGGCUUUCUGGGAUUUAGAAGUCACGGGAGCUAAUGGCUCUGACAGCUGGGAGACUGAGAAACCUGAAAAGCAAAAUGGGGCUAUCUUUGCUUCAGCAACAGUGAGAGGGCGCCGUCCUCUGGCCUGUGAGCCCCAGGAAACCUGCUCUGGCCCCGCGCCAACGCGCACAGGUAGCACAGGAGCUGCAGCCCAGCUGGGGCGAGAUGAAGCUCUGUCGCCUCUUCUCCUCUGUCAUCGCCCUGGGAGACAUCAAGGCCCCCAGAGACCAUCUACAUGACUUCCUCACCUUGCCAACAAGGAAAGGAGGCCCAGAGAGGGGCAGGGACUCCCCCAAGGUCACUUGACUGGGUGAGACAGGACCAUGGGUUCUCUGUUUCCCAUUUCCCUCAUGUGACGCUAUCUAGCUGUGUACUGAUCAGCAUCUGCAGUGACGCUUCGUAGCAAACACCCUCGAACCUCAAUGUCUUACAGUGGCAAAUGUGCAUUUCCCACGCUGGGUCUGUGGUCGGAUGUGGGGACUUUGGUCCAGGAUGCAAGUCAGAUUGGGGUCUGCUCCGUAUGCCUAUCAUGGCAGGGCCCAGGCUGAAGGGACAGCAGCUACCGGGGGCAUGCUCCUGUCCUGGCAGAUGGCAGGGCUGAGAGGGCAUGCCGGCUCAUGCAGGCACCUUCAAAACCUGUGGUAACCUCACGUCCACCCGGCAUCCACUGGCCACAGCAGCCACGUGGCUAAGUCCAGAGACAAAGGGGCACCUACUCUGUCUAGAGGGCUAGCAAAGUCACAUCGCAGAAGCUCUGGGUGUAAAAGCCCCAUUACAAGGAGGGAGAAACAAGGGUUUGCAGCGACCCAGUCUACCACUUGUCCUGAGGUCCUUUUCCCACCACAACCGAGUGAAGUUUCUAAAAGGCAAAUUGGAUAAAAUUGCUUCCUCCUCUUCCUAAACACCGUCAGCCAGGCCCUAUGACUCCAGGGGAGUCUCUAAACUCACGAGUAGGUCACCGGUCACCGGCUCCCUCCUGUGUUCCCACCUUGCCUAACCAUCCCGUGAGUACCUCCUGCGUCACACCCAGUCUGACCUAGAACCCCCCUAACCAGCCUCCUCUUAAUGCCUCAGGGACAGCCAAAGCUGGCCAUGCCUUCCGGAAGAUGCUCUGACCCAGGCCCGUAGCAUCCUCGGUGCUCAGGGUGGGGGUCACUAGCUGAGCUGAAUAUUUGCCAGAAAGCAGGGACACUUAUUUCCAAACCUGCUUACACCUGGUUUAUUUGUAAUUGUCAUUAUGUAAUUUACUAA